rfam:Sphaeroforma arctica JP610 cont1.11159, whole genome shotgun sequence.
CAACUGGUCUCUUUAGAGACCACCCUUCUGAACGAAGAAAUUAUCA